rnacentral:rRNA from 1 species
UGGGGAAUAUUGCACAAUGCGCGCAAGCCUGAUGCAGCCAUGCCGCGUGUAUGAAGAAGGCCUUCGGGUUGUAAAGUACUUUCAGCGGGGAGGAAGGUGUUGUGGUUAAUAACCUCAGCAAUUGACGUUACCCGCAGAAGAAGCACCGGCUAACUCCGUGCCAGCAGCCGCGGUAAUACGGAGGGUGCAAGCGUUAAUCGGAAUUACUGGGCGUAAAGCGCACGCAGGCGGUCUGUCAAGUCGGAUGUGAAAUCCCCGGGCUCAACCUGGGAACUGCAUCCGAAACUGGCAGGCUUGAGUCUUGUAGAGGGGGGUAGAAUUCCAGGUGUAGCGGUGAAAUGCGUAGAGAUCUGGAGGAAUACCGGUGGCGAAGGCGGCCCCCUGGACAAAGACUGACGCUCAGGUGCGAAAGCGUGGGGAGCAAACA